GAUGAAGAACGCAGCGAAAUGCGAUACUUGGUGUGAAUUGCAGAAUCCCGUGAACCAUCGAGUCUUUGAACGCAAGUUGCGCCCGAAGCCAUUAGGCCGAGGGCACGCCUGCCUAGGUGUCACACGUCGUUGCCCCCCCAUCUACUCCUUCGGGAUUGCGGGGGGCGGAUGAUGGCCUCCCGUGCGCCUCGUCGCGCGGUUGGCAUAAAUGCCAAGUCCUCGGCGACGCACGCCACGACAAUCGGUGGUUGCGAAACCUCGGUUGCCCGUCGUGUGCGGUCGUCGCGCAUCGAGGGCUCGAAAAAAUUGCCGGGCUCCGGCUCGGCUUUCAACGCGACCCCAGGUCAGGCGGGGUUACCCGCUGAAUUUAAGCAUAUCAAAAGCGGAGGA
rnacentral:misc_RNA from 1 species